ACGAUGAGGUGGAAACGGACAGAGCUGGCGUAUCUGGCCUGCAUUCAGCUGUGCACCGCUGGCGUCAUGGAUGCAGCUCUCCAGAUUGGGACGGUGGUCUGACUGCUGGUGGGUUUGCGGUGCAUUUGCAGGUGGAGUGCGCCGAGGCGCUCGAUGCAGCGGCAUGAGCUCAGCUUUGAGGCCAGCCCCUCACGGGGUCUGGUACCCGGGUGAGGGGAGUGCUGUUUGCGCUGGGCGGCUGCAGUGGGCAAUGGACUCGGGCUCGUGUGGGUACCGAGCUGGGGGUCGACGUCGGUCGCUUGCGACACGUGCUGGCACCCAGUUCGUUCCUGCUCGAGCUCACAUCUGCCCGUCCUCGGUGUAAAAGCCGGUCAUCUGUCCGACCCGUCUUGAAACACGGACCAAGGAGUUUAGCGUGUGCGCGAGUCAUUGGGCGUUGAAAACCCAAAGGCGCAAUGAAAGUGAAGGUCUCCCUUGCGGAGCUGACGUGUGAUCCUGGGCACUUCGGUGCGCCGGGCGCAACAUGGUCCCGUCCCGAUUGCUUGCAAUGGGGCGGAGACAGAGCGUACGCGCUGAG
rnacentral:rRNA from 1 species